rnacentral:rRNA from 1 species
CACCUCUAGCAUAAUAAGUAUUAGAGGCACUGCCUGCCCAGUGACUAACGUUUAACGGCCGCGGUAUCCUGACCGUGCAAAGGUAGCAUAAUCACUUGUUCCUUAAUUAGGGACUAGAAUGAACGGCUUAACGAGGGUCUAACUGUCUCUUAUUUCCAAUCAGUGAAAUUGACCUCCCCGUGAAGAGGCGGGGAUACAAAAACAAGACGAGAAGACCCUAUGGAGCUUUAAUUUACCAACUUAAAUUUACGUAAUAAACACUCCUAUUGGAUCAAACACAAAAAAAUUAAGUUCAAAUUUUGGUUGGGGUGACCUCGGAGAAUAAAAAAACCUCCGAAUGAUUUUAGUUAUGACAAACAAGUCUAAACAACUUUUAUCUAAUUGACCCAAAACUUCUUUGAUCAACGGACCAAGUUACCCUAGGGAUAACAGCGCAAUCCUAUUCAAGAGUCCAUAUCGACAAUUAGGGUUUACGACCUCGAUGUUGGAUCAGGACAUCCCAAUGGUGUAGAAGCUAUUAAUGGUUCGUUUGUUCAACGAUUAAAGUCCU